GAAUGUAUAUUUGGCAGAAAAGUAACCAAAACAAAACCCCCUCUCACUCUCAUCAUUAUCUCUUUGAUCCCUCUUCUCAUUUUCCAAUUUGCACCCCAAAGCCACCAAUCAAAUCCAUUUCCCCAUUAAACCCCUCUCUUCUUUGCCCUUUUAAAAAAAAAAAAAGAACAACAAACAAACCCUUCUCCUCUCUCUCAUCCUUCAUGCACCUCUGUCAUAUUAAUUAAUAACUCUUUUAUUUUAUUUCUCUCUCUCUCUCUCUCAAUUGCUUACUGUAUAUUCACUUCUUUUUCCAUCUUAAAUACAACCCCAUCUCCUUCCCUUUGCCUGUAUUCUUUCAUUUCCAUCAUUUUUCUCUCUUUAGGGCUUAUGGGUUUGUCUUGGUUGGUUUCUCAGAUCACUUCCAUGGUGGAUUCUUAUUGAAGUUUUCAAGUUCAUAGAAGCCAUAAUCAAGACCUAAUUUCAUGUGGGUUUGUUUUUUUUUAGCAAAGGAUUUCCCAAUAGAGUUUAUUGGCAUUCUGUCCACCUCCCCUUUCAAAUCUUUGCUUCAGUUUAUUUUUUCCUUUGUUUUUUCUUUUCUUUUAUAAUAUGGGGAGGUGGGCAUACUGCCAACUGAGCUCUGUUGGAUUCUCUUUGUUACAACCCUCAUGAUGCUUUUUUCUUUCAUCAUCUUCAUUUUUCUUCUUUUUUAUUUUCUCUGCUGAAAAAUACAACUCCAAAGCCCACUAUCAUGGAGGUUUCUUCUUUCUCAGGUUUGAUUUGAUCUCUGUUUUUUUUUAAUUGGGAGAAGGGAAAAAAGAACCCUAAAAAGUUUCUAUCAAGGCUUACUAGGUUUGAAGAAACAUUAGGUCAAAUCCCAAAUCUCAAAACUCUAGAUUUCUUUUAUGAGUGAGUGGAAAAGUAGUAUAGAAAAUGAAGUGAUUGUUUUUUUUUCUUCUUUUUUUCUUCUUUUUUUUUCCAGCUCAUGGGGCCAAAAUGAUGAAGGUAUAUAUAUGAUUGAAAUAAUUAACUUUCACAAUUGAUUUCUGCAAAAUAAAUAAAUAAAUAAAUUUUCCUUUUAGGGUUGUGGGUUUUGCGAGAAUGAUUUGUUAUCAUAAGGCCAACAAUAAUUAGCGAAGAUUUUUCUUUUUUUAGAUCAUUAUUUCAUCGGUAUGUUCAUGGCCUUCAUGCAUGCUUUGUCUGUCCCUCGUUUUUAAUUUUACUUUUAAUUAUUAUUAUCAUUGUGUUUGGUUGGUUAAAUCGCUUGGGUUUCUUUUUUCUUUAAAUAAAAAAAAUUGUGUUGAAAAAUCAAUCUCAUUUUUACCCAAUUUCCCAAGCCUUGAAUACUACGCAGCCAGCCCUCAUCAUUGUCCACUGACAAAAGAGUUUAAGCUUUUUCUAUGCCAGCCCAAGAUGCUUCCGUUAUUACCCACUCCUCGGGCGGCGCGUGCGUUUUCCGGUCGGUCUUCCACGGCGGCGCUUGGCGGCACGUGCUUGUUUCUACUCCCGCCGCCGGCGAAAAUAUUUUUGAAAGGAGGGGUUGUGUUUGGUAUUGGAAUUUGAGCCUAUGAAGAUCUGAUGUGAUCUUCUUCAAGCUUUGGAGCUCCUCUAGGGUUUUGGCCUUAUAAUUCUCUGCACAAUCACAGUCGUAGGGAACCAAUGUAUUUAUUCUCUCUCCAAUUUAUUUUAAAUUACUAUUUUAAUUUAUAAUCUCAGUGGUCUUUCACUUUUUCA